UACGUAGGGUGCGAGCGUUGUCCGGAAUUAUUGGGCGUAAAGAGCUCGUAGGCGGUUUGUCGCGUCGGCCGUGAAAUCUCCACGCUUAACCCUGAGCUUGCGGUCGAUACGGGCAUGACUGGAGUUCGGCAGGGGAGACUGGAAUUCCUGGUGUAGCGGUGAAAUGCGCAGAUAUCAGGAGGAACACCGGUGGCGAAGGCGGGUCUCUGGGCCGAUACUGACGCUGAGGAGCGAAAGCGUGGGGGAGCGAACAGG
rnacentral:rRNA from 1 species